UUUUUGUUCUUCUCUUAGGGAGUCCAGCUGAGCUGAAGCAGUGAAGAUGAGUGCUGACUCAAGAAGUCAUUUUGCUGUGUUGUACAGCAGAAAAGCAAUUCAUCUGCAGCACUCAGUCAAGGAGAGACUUCACAGAAAAAGGCAGUUGUUAGAGCCAGGAUGUGCUGUGAGCAAGGCUGGCCAGCUCAGGAGGGGAGCAUCUCGUACGGAACGUCUUUGCACUGAUGGAGGGAAGAACU
rnacentral:lncRNA from 1 species